rnacentral:rRNA from 1 species
UACGUAGGGGGCAAGCGUUGUCCGGAUUUAUUGGGCGUAAAGAGCUCGUAGGCGGCUCGGUAAGUCGGAUGUGAAACCUCCAGGCUCAACCUGGAGACGCCAUCUGAUACUGCCGUGGCUUGAGUCCGGUAGAGGAGCAGGGAAUUCCUGGUGUAGCGGUGAAAUGCGCAGAUAUCAGGAGGAACACCAGCGGCGAAGGCGCUGCUCUGGGCCGGUACUGACGCUGAGGAGUGAAAGCGUGGGGAGCGAACAGG